rnacentral:rRNA from 1 species
GAUGAACGCUGGCGGCGUGCCUAAUACAUGCAAGUCGAGCGAACAGACGAGGAGCUUACUCCUCUGACGUUAGCGGCGGACGGGUGAGUAACACGUGGAUAACCUACCUAUAAGACUGGGAUAACUUCGGGAAACCGGAGCUAAUACCGGAUAACAUGUUGAACCGCAUGGUUCAACAGUGAAAGACGGUCUUGCUGUCACUUAUAGAUGGAUCCGCGUCGCAUUAGCUAGUUGGUAAGGUAACGGCUUACCAAGGCAACGAUGCGUAGCCGACCUGAGAGGGUGAUCGGCCACACCGGAACUGAGACACGGUCCAGACUCCUACGGGAGGCAGCAGUAGGGAAUCUUCCGCAAUGGGCGAAAGCCUGACGGAGCAACGCCGCGUGAGUGAAGAAGGUCUUCGGAUCGUAAAACUCUGUUAUUAGGGAAGAACAAAUGUGUAAGUAACUAUGCACGUCUUGACGGUACCUAAUCAGAAAGCCACGGCUAACUACGUG